rnacentral:rRNA from 1 species
GAUGAACGCUGGCGGCGUGCCUAAUACAUGCAAGUCGAGCGAACAGACGAGGAGCUUGCUCCUCUGACGUUAGCGGCGGACGGGUGAGUAACACGUGGAUAACCUACCUAUAAGACUGGGAUAACUUCGGGAAACCGGAGCUAAUACCGGAUAAUAUAUUGAACCGCAUGGUUCAAUAGUGAAAGACGGUUUUGCUGUCACUUAUAGAUGGAUCCGCGCCGCAUUAGCUAGUUGGUAAGGUAACGGCUUACCAAGGCUACGAUGCGUAGCCGACCUGAGAGGGUGAUCGGCCACACUGGAACUGAGACACGGUCCAGACUCCUACGGGAGGCAGCAGUAGGGAAUCUUCCGCAAAGGGCGAAAGCCUGACGGAGCAACGCCGCGUGAGUGAUGAAGGUCUUCGGAUCGUAAAACUCUGUUAUUAGGGAAGAACAAAUGUGUAAGUUACUAUGCACGUCUUGACGGUACCUAAUCAGAAAGCCACGGCUAACUACGUG